rfam:TPA: Bos taurus chromosome 16, whole genome shotgun sequence.
UCCCUGGUGGCUCAGUGGUUAGGACUUUGCACUUUCACUGCUGAAGGCCAGGGUUCAAUCCUUAGCCAGGGAA